CAGGGUAGCUCAGCGGUUAGAGCAGUGGCUUCAUAAGCCAUGUGUCGCGGGUUCGAUUCCCGCCCCUG
rnacentral:tRNA from 1 species